UACGUAGGGUGCGAGCGUUACUCGGAAUUACUGGGCGUAAAGCGUGCGCAGGCGGUUCGCCAAGUCAGGUGUGAAAUCCCCGGGCUUAACCUGGGAAUUGCGCUUGAAACUAGCGGGCUUGAGUGUGGCAGAGGGGGGUGGAAUUCCCGGUGUAGUGGUGGAAUGCGUAGAUAUCGGGAGGAACACCAGUGGCGAAGGCGGUUGCCUGGAGCUUUGCUGACGCUGAGGCGCGAAAGCGUGGGGAGCGAUCCGG
rnacentral:rRNA from 1 species